GUCUUCGUGGUGUAACGGUAGAACACUCGGCGCGUAUUCGAGAGGUCCGGGUUCGAGUCCUGGCGUAGGCA
rfam:Stegodyphus mimosarum contig94564, whole genome shotgun sequence.